AACUACAGACGCGAAGCUCAGCCUCUCGGUUUGGGAAUUUUCUUGGAGGCCGAGGCCCUGCGCCUCUGUCUGCACCCAAGGCGACCGCCCAGCUUACCCCCGGCUCUUCUGAGCACAGGGAGGCCUCCCAGCAAAGCCUGAACCCUCUAAGUUUAGCUGCAGGCUUCGAACCCCGACCGUCCCCGCCGAGCCUUGGGCUGCUGAGGUGGGGAUGAACUGGGCGAAAGACACUUGGGAGUUAGGAAGAAACAAACAAGCAGGGAAGUGACCAGGAGACAAGGUGUUUUUGUGAGUGAAUGAGACAUAGUCACUGCCCUCCAGGCACUUGGAAUCUAAUCCCAGAGGGGCA
rnacentral:lncRNA from 10 species